rnacentral:rRNA from 1 species
GUGACUGCGUACCUUUUGUAUAAUGGGUCAGCGACUUAUAUUCUGUAGCAAGGUUAACCGUAUAGGGGAGCCGAAGGGAAACCGAGUCUUAACUGGGCGUUAAGUUGCAGGGUAUAGACCCGAAACCCGGUGAUCUAGCCAUGGGCAGGUUGAAGGUUGGGUAACACUAACUGGAGGACCGAACCGACUAAUGUUGAAAAAUUAGCGGAUGACUUGUGGCUGGGGGUGAAAGGCCAAUCAAACCGGGAGAUAGCUGGUUCUCCCCGAAAGCUAUUUAGGUAGCGCCUCGUGAACUCAUCUUCGGGGGUAGAGCACUGUUUCGGCUAGGGGGUCAUCCCGACUUACCAACCCGAUGCAAACUGCGAAUACCGAAGAAUGUUAUCACGGGAGACACACGGCGGGUGCUAACGUCCGUCGUGAAGAGGGAAACAACCCAGACCGCCAGCUAAGGUCCCAAAGUCACAGUUAAGUGGGAAACGAUGUGGGAAGGCUCAGACAGCCAGGAUGUUGGCUUAGAAGCAGCCAUCAUUUAAAGAAAGCGUAAUAGCUCACUGGUCGAGUCGGCCUGCGCGGAAGAUGUAACGGGGCUAAACUGUGCACCGAAGCUGCGGCAGCGACGCUUAUGCGUUGUUGGGUAGGGGAGCGUUCUGUAAGCCUGCGAAGGUGUCCUGUGAGGGAUGCUGGAGGUAUCAGAAGUGCGAAUGCUGACAUAAGUAACGAUAAUGCGGGUGAAAAGCCCGCUCGCCGGAAGACCAAGGGUUCCUGUCCAACGUUAAUCGGGGCAGGGUGAGUCGACCCCUAAGGCGAGGCCGAAAGGCGUAGUCGAUGGGAAACGGGUUAAUAUUCCCGUACUUGGUGUUACUGCGAAGGGGGGACGGAGAAGGCUAUGUUGGCCGGGCGACGGUUGUCCCGGUUUAAGCGUGUAGGCUGGUUUUCCAGGCAAAUCCGGAAAAUCAAG